ACAGACUUCAUGGAAUCAUUUCUAUAGUAAACGUCCACAACUGUAUUCUUCAAAGAAGCUACAGACUCCAACCUGGCUGAUGAGUGCUAACCGCGGCGCCUAAGAGUGAUGCCGAUGUGGUGGUCUUUUCCAGAUUGCUGGCGAUGAUCUCGCCCUGCUUGAGCGUCUGGCUUCGGCCGGUUCCUGCAGGUAGGUGCUGUCGGUCGUCUGACAGGU
rnacentral:snoRNA from 1 species